rnacentral:hammerhead_ribozyme from 1 species
AUCCACCUGACGAGUCCCAAAUAGGACGAACCGCGCUCCCUUGAU